CGGGGUGUGGCGCAGCGGUAGCGCACCCGCUUUGGGAGCGGGGGGUCACAGGUUCAAAUCCUGUCACCCCGACCA
rnacentral:tRNA from 3 species